UUUGACCCGAGUGGGAAAGCUCCAGAUAUCAGCCCCUUAUCAAGUACUUUCACAUGCCACAGAGGAGUACACCCGUGGUGAGUGGGGAACCCAUCAAUGGCAGCCAUGGAAGCAAGUAAAAUUGUCAGUCUGAUGGUGAAAAAAAGCAUGGAUCAGUGUGGCUGGGUCCUCAUAUAAGAGAAAAGGGUAUUGUCUGUAGGGCACCUGGAAAAAACCCCAAACAACCCCGUUUUGACACCACUGCUAUCUGGGAGUCAAGGAACAGAGAGCAAUGCUGUGCAACUCCUUCAGAAGUGGAAGAGAGAGGACUUUAGUUGAGGAUAAACCUGCACUAUCCAUGAUAGAAGAGCACUGAGAGCAGCCUUCAAGAUGGCCAACUCUACCAGUCUACUAGCUGGAGGAAAGGUGAUAUGAUGGCCCCUGGCAACUCCAAGUUAAAUUUGAAAUGCGACACUAUAACUUACCCUAAUUCUAUAUGUGCUCAGUAAGAGUCUCGUCCUCCAUAAUGAUCCUCCAUCACUGCAGUCAGGGUGCCCAGUACCCUUCAGGAGUAGCUCAGCACCUCAUAGGAUGAGGUGCUAAUUCAGAACAGUGGCUGAUAGACUGUUCAGUGAGGUCCCGUUGCUUUGGAGAUCUCUAAAGGAACAUGCACAUAACAGCAGCGGCCCUGGAACUGAUCCUUUAUCUAGGAAAGCUGAUACAUUAGAUUAAAAGAUGAGAUUAGCAUAUCGGAUUGGGAGGAAGGUAGUUUGAUUUUUUUCUAAUUUUUCUGUGUGGGACAGUGCCCCAGUGCUAGUCUCCACACACGAUGGCAGAUUUCUUCUGUUGUCUUGUCUGGGAGCUGCUGUUUAAUACUGUAUGUUGCUGUCAGUUCUGUAGCAUUCAAGUGUACAACUAUAGCAGUGAUUAAAAUGCUUAUCUAGCCA